rnacentral:rRNA from 1 species
UGCAAGUCGAACGGGAUCCCGGGGGUUCGCUCCCGGGUGAGAGUGGCGAACGGGUGAGUAAUGCGUGACCGACCUGCCCCAUACACCGGAAUAGCUCCUGGAAACGGGUGGUAAUGCCGGAUGCUCCGGUUGGAUGCAUGUCCUUCCGGGAAAGAUUCCAUCGGUAUGGGAUGGGGUCGCGUCCUAUCAGCUUGAUGGCGGGGUAACGGCCCACCAUGGCUUCGACGGGUAGCCGGCCUGAGAGGGCGACCGGCCACAUUGGGACUGAGAUACGGCCCAGACUCCUACGGGAGGCAGCAGUGGGGAAUAUUGCACAAUGGGCGCAAGCCUGAUGCAGCGACGCCGCGUGCGGGAUGGAGGCCUUCGGGUUGUAAACCGCUUUUGAUCGGGAGCAAGCCCUUCGGGGUGAGUGUACCUUUCGAAUAAGCACCGGCUAC